rnacentral:sRNA from 1 species
CUGAAAUUUGUGGUCGAUGCCGCCCAUUG